GUUAGUGUAGUGAACACGCCAGAACAGGGGUGUGGAAGCCAAGUGUUCUCUAUUCCAGCUAUGGAAAGUUCAAUGGCAGGUGUGGUCCGAAGCCAACCAGAGGACGCAGGAGAUUGGAGAAGAGCUCUCCUUCCGUUCAGGCUCACGGCAAAGCACGUUGCCUUCUUUCUUUUGCAAAAUAACCACAGGAUACUUCUCAGAGAGAUGCUACGGAGAUGCUUCAGCCUUGAACACCAUGUUCUAAAGCUCUCCAUUGCUGAAGAAAAGGAUUUCCACUCAAUGAAAUCAUGACGCAGAAGAUUAUGCAGUUUGAGUCUCAAGAUGUAAAAGGUCUGAAGAGACUGCAUAUAGGUAGGAACUAACUGAAAAAUAAGAAGAAGGCCUGUGCUAUGAUAUACGUUGAUACAGUGGCAGUCAGGUUAUUUCUUUUCCUUUGUUCCUUUGUUCCUUUGUGUGUGUGCCCUGAAUGAUACAACUUAUUUUCAAUAGAAAUAAAUCAUGCAUCUUCAAAUUGGAUGUGGCUAACUGGGUGUAGAGGGUUUUGGUCCAUGAGUAGCACACAGUCUAACAUCUGCUGUUACACUUUGUUUACUUAGAAUAUAAAUUAAAUUCCUGAGCUGGUACACAAGCCAGUGUAUAGACAGCAGGCUAAAUUUGUUACGGUUGAAAAAAGUGAAACAUGGUGUAUCUUCAAAACAGUUAUUAAGAUGUAAAUUUGGG
rnacentral:lncRNA from 1 species